rnacentral:rRNA from 1 species
GAUGAACGCUGGCGGCGUGCCUAAUACAUGCAAGUCGAGCGAACGGACGAGAAGCUUGCUUUUCUGAUGUUAGCGGCGGACGGGUGAGUAACACGUGGAUAACCUACCUAUAAGACUGGGAUAACUUCGGGAAACCGGAGCUAAUACCGGAUAAUAUUUUGAACCGCAUGGUUCAAAAGUGAAAGACGGUCUUGCUGUCACUUAUAGAUGGAUCCGCGCUGCAUUAGCUAGUUGGUAAGGUAACGGCUUACCAAGGCAACGAUGCAUAGCCGACCUGAGAGGGUGAUCGGCCACACUGGAACUGAGACACGGUCCAGACUCCUACGGGAGGCAGCAGUAGGGAAUCUUCCGCAAUGGGCGAAAGCCUGACGGAGCAACGCCGCGUGAGUGAUGAAGGUCUUCGGAUCGUAAAACUCUGUUAUUAGGGAAGAACAUAUGUGUAAGUAACUGUGCACAUCUUGACGGUACCUAAUCAGAAAGCCACGGCUAACUACGUGCCAGCAGCCGCGGUAAUACGUAGGUGGCAAGCGUUAUCCGGAAUUAUUGGGCGUAAAGCGCGCGUAGCGGUUUUUUAAGUCUGAUGUGAAAGCCCACGGCUCAACCGUGGAGGGUCAUUGGAAACUGGAAAACUUGAGUGCAGAAGAGGAAAGUGGAAUUCCAUGUGUAGCGGUGAAAUGCGCAGAGAUGUGGAGGAACACCAGUGGCGAAGGCGACUUUCUGGUCUGUAACUGACGCUGAUGUGCGAAAGCGUGGGGAUCAAACAGGAUUAGAUACCCUGGUAGUCCACGCCGUAAACGAUGAGUGCUAAGUGUUAGGGGGUUUCCGCCCCUUAGUGCUGCAGCUAACGCAUUAAGCACUCCGCCUGGGGAGUACGACCGCAAGGUUGAAACUCAAAGGAAUUGACGGGGGCCCGCACAAGCGGUGGAGCAUGUGGUUUAAUUCGAAGCAACGCGAAGAACCUUACCAAAUCUUGACAUCCUUUGACAACUCUAGAGAUAGAGCCUUCCCCUUCGGGGGACAAAGUGACAGGUGGUGCAUGGUUGUCGUCAGCUCGUGUCGUGAGAUGUUGGGUUAAGUCCCGCAACGAGCGCAACCCUUAAGCUUAGUUGCCAUCAUUAAGUUGGGCACUCUAAGUUGACUGCCGGUGACAAACCGGAGGAAGGUGGGGAUGACGUCAAAUCAUCAUGCCCCUUAUGAUUGGGGCUACACACGUGCUACAAUGGACAAUACAAAGGGCAGCGAAACCGCGAGGUCAAGCAAAUCCCAUAAAGUUGUUCUCAGUUCGGAUUGUAGUCUGCAACUCGACUACAUGAAGCUGGAAUCGCUAGUAAUCGUAGAUCAGCAUGCUACGGUGAAUACGUUCCCGGGUCU